GCACUCUCCGGUUCCUCCAGGACACUGCCAGUCAGCGCUGCACCGGAAAGCAUGCCAAUCACUGCGUUAGAAGCUUCCUGACGCUUCAUCAAAGCUGUAGGUCCUGAAGAAGCCUUGCCAGCUCGUUUGUCGUCCUCAGAAACAUCAUCACAGGAUUCAUUUUGAGAAGAAUUCCAAAAAAGAAGCAAUGUGCAUUAUACAAAUUGAUGCUAUACAGCCUAAAUGGAUAUUGAUCGCGCACAGCGAUCAAAGAACGAAUAAAUCUGAGCAAAUAAAGCAUGCUUUGCUGAGCGAACGGAUGACAGAGAGCAUCAGUAUGGGAGGUCGAGUACAGAAUCAUAACCAGAAACGGCAGCGUUUGACCUCUGACUUCAGUGGCCCUCGGGGAAGUCGACUGUAAUUGGACGAACUCAUCACCUAAUGCGCCGGCAGCGUGGAGCUCCGCCCUUCAUCAUCACAAUGACCUUCAUCUGCCUCGACGUCUUCACAACAAGACACAGAUCUCGGAAACAGUCAAAGCACCAAACCUCAAACACAAAAGUCCGAAAGUGUGGACGCCAGUCGACUCCUACACGCAAGCUGAUGCUGUCGAUGAUAAUCGAGGUGGCUGGAAUCCCGUUCAACAUUCAGGUGUCCUCACGCAUCCCCUGCAAACCGGGAGCAGGUUAUGGGAAUAUGCGUUCUGGGAAAUGAGGAACGGCGCUGCGUUGGUGGUCUCGAGGGGCGACGGCUGACUGGCCUUGGGCUGAAUGUUCACGCUGCUGUGACGGUGACCCUCCUCGCCUCACGUUCAGCUAAUUUAACCGCG